UACGGGGGGGGGCAAGCGUUUGUUCGGAAUUACUGGGCGUAAAGGGCUCGUAGGCGGCCAAACUAAGUCAGACGUGAAAUCCCUCGGCUUUAACCGGGGAACUGCGUCUGAUACUGGUUGGCUUGAGUGUGGGAGAGGGAUGCGGAAUUCCAGGUGUAGCGGUGAAAUGCGUAGAUAUCUGGAGGAACACCGGUGGCGAAGGCGGCAUCCUGGACCAUUACUGACGCUGAGGAGCGAAAGCCAGGGGAGCAAACGGG
rnacentral:rRNA from 1 species